AACGAACGCUGGCGGCGUGCCUAACACAUGCAAGUCGAGCGAGAAAGUCCCGGCAACGGGAUGAGUACAGCGGCGAACGGGUGAGUAACGCGUGGGUAAUCUACCCUCCAGCUCGGGAUAACCUGCCGAAAGGUGGGCUAAUACCGGAUGAUGUUCCCGUGGGGAUCCUGCGGGAAGCAAAGGGGGCGAGCGUAAGCAGCUCUCACUGGAGGAGGAGCCUGCGUCCGAUUAGCUAGUUGGUGGGGUAAUGGCCUACCAAGGCGACGAUCGGUAGCCGGCCUGGGCGGGCGACCGGCCACACUGGAACUGAGACACGGUCCAGACUCCUACGGGAGGCAGCAGUGGGGAAUCUUGCGCAAUGGGCGAAAGCCUGACGCAGCGACGCCGCGUGGGCGAUGAAGGCCUUCGGGUCGUAAAGCCCUGUCGGGUGGGACGAAUCUCCUGGUGGCGAAUAACCACCGGGCUUGACGGUACCACCGAAGGAAGCCCCGGCUAACUACGUGCCAGCAGCCGCGGUAA
rnacentral:rRNA from 1 species